GCUUACUUCCGUAUUGUGCGGUCCACAUACAGGAAGUGAGUUUUCAUCGACUGUUGCAGACUCCCAGUGUCCGUGGAGAUCAGGCUCUUCCACAGAUACGGAGACAGUUCCACCGGAGGGGGAGUAUAUAGAGGAACACAGGGGUCUGUACAAGGACGUGAUGAUGGAGAAUCACCGGCCCCUCACAUCACUGG